rnacentral:rRNA from 1 species
UACGUAGGGUGCGAGCGUUGUCCGGAAUUAUUGGGCGUAAAGAGCUUGUAGGCGGUUUGUCGCGUCUGCUGUGAAAAUCCGGGGCUCAACCCCGGACUUGCAGUGGGUACGGGCAGACUAGAGUGUGGUAGGGGAGACUGGAAUUCCUGGUGUAGCGGUGAAAUGUGUAGAGAUCGGGAGGAACACCGGUGGCGAAGGCGGGUCUCUGGGCAAUUCCUGACGCUGAGGCGCGAAAGCGUGGGGAGCAAACGGG